rnacentral:ncRNA from 1 species
GUUCGAAAAUGGCAAACUUGCUGAAAGGCAAGGACGCAAAGCUGAGGGUCUACGGUUCCCACGGAACUAUGACAGCCUGGUUACCGAA